rnacentral:rRNA from 1 species
GACGAACGCUGGCGGCGUGCUUAACACAUGCAAGUCGAACGGAAAGGCCCUGCUUUUGUGGGGUGCUCGAGUGGCGAACGGGUGAGUAACACGUGAGUAACCUGCCCUUGACUGUGGGAUAACUUCAGGAAACUGGGGCUAAUACCGGAUAGGAGCUCCUGCUCCAUGGGGGGGGUUGGAAAGUUUCGGCGGUUGGGGAUGGACUCGCGGCUUAUCAGCUUGUUGGUGGGGUAGUGGCUUACCAAGGCUUUGACGGGUAGCCGGCCUGAGAGGGUGACCGGCCACAUUGGGACUGAGAUACGGCCCAGACUCGUACGGGAGGCAGCAGUGGGGAAUAUUACACAGUAGGCGGGAGCCUGAUGCAGCAACGCCGCGUGCGGGAUGACGGCCUUCGGGUUGUAAACCGCUUUCGCCUGUGACGAAGCGUGAGUGACGGUAAUGGGUAAAGAAGCACCGGCUAACUACGUG